UGGUGGAGCGAUUUGUCUGGUUAAUUCCGAUAACGAACGAGACUCUAGCCUACUAAAUAGACCGUUGGCUCUUUUUGCGUCAACGGGACUUCUUAGAGGGACAAGCGGCAAUUAAGCCGCACGAAACAGAGCAAUAACA
rnacentral:rRNA from 1 species